rnacentral:ribozyme from 1 species
GUUACUCGAAACUUUGUACACCUCUACGCAAUGAGCGGCAGGCAACGGUCUUAAGACUGGCUGAGAUGGGAAG